AAUACCGAAUAGUUUUGGUUCCUUNNUGGGACCCAACGGAAAGACGGUNUCGGCUGUCACUGCAGGAUGGGCCCGCGGCGCAUUAGCUAGUUGGUGGGGUAACGGCCCACCAAGGCGACGAUGCGUAGCCGACCUGAGAGGGUGAUCGGCCACACUGGGANUGAGACACGGCCCAGANUCCUACGGGAGGCAGCAGUAGGGAAUUUUCCNCAAUGGACGCAAGUCUGACGGAGCAACGCCGCGUNAGUGACGNAGGUUUUCGGAUNGUNAAACUCUGUUGUGAGNGAAGAAACCGUACCAAUUAANUACUGGUACCUUGACGGUACCUCACCAGAAAGCCACGGCUAAUUACGUGCCAGCAGCCGCGNUAAUACGUAGGUGGCAAGCGUUGUCCGGAAUUAUUGGGCGUAAAGCGCGCGCAGGCGGUCCUUUAAGUCUGAUGUGAAAGCCCACGGNUCAACCGUGGAGGGUCAUUGGAAACUGGAGGACUUGAGUGCAGAAGAGGAAAGUGGAAUUCCACGUGUAGCGGUGAAAUGCGUAGAGAUGUGGAGGAACACCAGUGGCGAAGGCGACUUUCUGGUCUGUAACUGACGCUGAGGCGAGAAAGCGUGGGGAGCAAACAGGAUUAGGUACCCUGGUAGUCCACGCCGUAAACGUUGGGCGCUAGGUGUGGGGCUCAUUCCACGAGUUCCGUGCCGCAGCUAACGCAUUAAGCGCCCCGCCUGGCGAGUACGG
rnacentral:rRNA from 1 species